rnacentral:rRNA from 1 species
UACGAGGGGGGCAAGUGUUGUUCGGAAUUACUGGGCGUAAAGGGCGCGUAGGCGGCACUGUUAGUCAGGCGUGAAAGUCCUGGGCUCAACCUGGGAACUGCGCUUGAUACGGCAGAGCUAGAGGAUGGAAGAGGCUCGCGGAAUUCCCAGUGUAGAGGUGAAAUUCGUAGAUAUUGGGAAGAACACCGGUGGCGAAGGCGGCGAGCUGGUCCAUUACUGACGCUGAGGCGCGACAGCGUGGGGAGCAAACAGG